GACGAACGCUGGCGGCGUGCUUAACACAUGCAAGUCGAACGGAAAGGCCCUGCUUGCCGGGUACUCGAGUGGCGAACGGGUGAGUAACACGUGGGUGAUCUGCCCUGCACUUCGGGAUAAGCCUGGGAAACUGGGUCUAAUACCGGAUAGGAGCCAUUUUUAGUGUGAUGGUUGGAAAGUUUUUUCGGUGUAGGAUGAGCUCGCGGCCUAUCAGCUUGUUGGUGGGGUAAUGGCCUACCAAGGCGGCGACGGGUAGCCGGCCUGAGAGGGUGGACGGCCACAUUGGGACUGAGAUACGGCCCAGACUCCUACGGGAGGCAGCAGUGGGGAAUAUUGCACAAUGGGCGCAAGCCUGAUGCAGCGACGCCGCGUGGGGGAUGACGGCCUUCGGGUUGUAAACGCCUUUCGCUAGGGACGAAGCUUUUUGCGACGGUACCUAGAUAAGAAGCACCGGCUAACUACGUG
rnacentral:rRNA from 1 species